GUCCUUGAAAAAGACAUGUUAGUUUCAUUAGAAACUGAAUUGGAAAUUACGUCGUCGACUGAGGUGGACCGGGUUAGGGCUUGAAACUCCAGAGCUAAAAAGAAGUCCCACUCCGGCUCUGGCAUAGAUGGAUGUCCUUCCUAGAGGAAGGGGGUGGUGGUGGGCAUAGAUUGUUGGAUAGAUGUCUUCCCUGUGGCAGUUAUCUACAUUGUAGGUAAUGGACACAAGAGCAUCGGUGGAGUUUUAUCUAAAAAUUGCUGGAGAACAGCCAGCAGGUAGGGCUCUGUUAGUGCUGUCUUUGUCUUUUACAGACUGGAGUGCAGCAUGUGGAGAAAAAUGGAAAUCACCUACCUCAGCAAUGACUGGAAACUGGGGGUCAAGAAUAUCCUUCAAAAAUAGAUGGAUGGGUGCAUGGAUGGAUGUCCUUCCAAGAGGAAGGGGGUGGUGGUGGGCAUACUGUAGAUUGUCAGAUAGAUGUCAUCUCUGUGGCUGCACUGCUGCACUGCAGAAGCUCAGCCAGCAGGUAGGGCUCUGUUGGUGCUGCCUUUGUCUUUUGCAGAUUGGAGUGGAGCAGAAGAAGGAAACUCACAAGGAAACAGUGGAGAUUUAUCUGAAGAACACUGGAGAACACUGUUUAUUGCUGGAGAUCAGCCAGCAAGUGGAGCUUUGUUAGUUUUGUUUUCGUCUUUUCCAGAUUAGACUGGGGCAUGUGGAGAAAUAGGAAUCACACCUCAGCGAUGACUGCAAACUGAAGACUGGAGUGCAGCAUGUGGAGACAAAUGGGAAUCACCUACCUCAGCAAUGACUGGACACUGAUGGUCAAGAAUAUCAUUCAAAAACAGAUGAAUGGGUGCAUGGAUGGAUGUCCUUCCUAGAGGAAGGGGUGGUGGUGGGCAUGAAUUGUUGGAUAGAUGUCUUCUCUGUGGCUGUUAUCUACAUUGUAGGUAAUGGAAAUAAGGGCAUCGGUGGAGUUUUAUCUAAAAAUUGCUGGAGCUCAGCCAGCAGGUAGGGCUCUGCUGGAGCUGUCUUUGUCUUUUGGAGAUUGGAGUGUAGCCGAAGAAGGAGACUUACAAGGAAACUGGAGAUUUAUCUGAAGAACACUGGAGAACACUGUUUAUUGCUGGAGAUCAGCCAGCAAGUGGAGCCUUGUUAGUCUUGUUUUUGUCUUUUGCAGAUUAGACUGGGGCAUGUGAAGAAAUAGGAAUCACAACUCAGCGAUGACUGCAAACUGAAGAUCUGGUUAGACUGGAGUGCAGCAUGUGGAGACAAAUGGGAAUCACCUACCUCAGCAAUGACUGGAUACUGAUGGUCAAGAAUAUGCUUCAAAAACAGAUGGAUGGGUGCAUAGAUGGAUGUCCUUCCUAGAGGAAGGGGGUGGUGGUGGCCAUAUUGUAGAUUGUCAGAUAGAUGUCAUCUCUGUGGCUGUUAUUAACAUUGUAAAUAAUGGAUACACAACAGGGAGAAGAUGGAGACUUACAAGAACAUUGUGGAGAACAGCUUAUGCACUGCAGGAGCUCAGCCAGCAGGUAGGGCUCUGUUGGCGCUGUCUUCGUCUUUUGCAGAUUGGAGUGGAGCAGAAGAAGGAAACUCACAAGGAAACAGCGGAGAUUUAUCUGAAGAACACUGGAGAACACUGUUUAUUGCUGGAGAUCAGCCAGCAAGUGGAGCUUUGUUAGUCUUGUUUUCGUCUUUUGCAGAUUAAACUGCAGCAUGUGGAGAAAUAGGAAUCACACCUCAGCGAUGACUGCAAACUGAAGACUGGAGUGCAGCAUGUGGAGACAAAUGGGAAUCUCAGCAAUGACUGGACACUGAUGGUCAAAAAUAUCCUUCAAAGACAGACGAAUGUGUGCAUGCGUGGAUGUCCUUCCUUAAGGCAGGGGUGGUGGUGGGCAUAGAUUGUUGGAUAGAUGUCUUCUCUGUGGCUGUUAUCUACAUUGUAGAGAAUGGAAUUAAGAGCAUCGGUGGAGUUUAAUCUAAAAAUUGCUGGAGAACAGCCAGCAGGUAGGGCUCUGUUAGUGCUGUCUUUGUCUUUUGCAGAUUGGAGUGCAGCAUGUGGAGACAAGUGGGAAUCACCUACCUCAGCAAUGACUGGAAACUAAUGGUCAAGAUUAUCCUUCAACAACAGAUGGAUGGGUGCAUGGAUGGAUGUCCUUCCAAGAGGAAGGGGGUGGUGGUGGGCAUACUGUAGAUUGUCAGAUAGAUGUCAUCUCUGUGGCUGUUAUUAACAUUGUAAAUAAUGGAUACACAACAGGGAGAAGAGGGAGACUCACAAGAGUAUUGUGGAGAACAGCUUACGCACUGCAGGAGCUCAGCCAGCAGGUAGGGCUCUGUUAGUGCUGUCUUUGUCUUUUGCAGAUUGGAGUGGAGCAGAAGAAGGAGACUCACAAGGAAACAGUGGAGAUUUAUCUGAAGAUCACUGGAGAACACUGUUUAUUGCUGGAGAUCAGCCAGCAAGUGGAGCUUUGUUAGUGUUGUUUUUGUCUUUUGCAGAUUAGACUGGGGCAUGUGGAGAAAUAGGAAUCACAACUCAGCGAUGACUGCAAACUGAAGGUCUGGUUAGACUGGAGUGCAGUAUGUGGAGAAAAAUGGGAUUCACCUACCUCAGCAAUGACUGGACACUGAUUGUCAAGAAUAUCCUUAAAAAACAGAUGGAUGGGUGCAUGGAUGGAUGUCCUUCCUAGAGCAAGGGGGAGAAGAGGGAGACUCACAAGAGCAUUGUGGAGAACAGCUUACGCACUGCAGGAGCUCAGCCAGCAGAUUAGACUGGGGCAUGUGGAGAAAUAGGAAUCACACCUCAGCGAUGACUGCAAACUGAAGACUGGAGUGCAGCAUGUGGAGAAAAAUGGGAAUCUCAGCAAUGACUGGACACUGAUGGUCAAGAAUAUUCUUCAACAACAGAUGGAUGGGUGCAUGAAUGGACGUCCUUCCUAGAGCAAGGGGUAGGUGGUGGGCAUACUGUAGAUUGUCAGAUAGAUGUCAUCUCUGUGGCUGUUAUUAACAUUGUAAAUAAUAGAUACACAACAGGGAGAAGUGGGAGACUCACAAGAGCAUUGUGGAGAACAGCUUAUGCACUGCAGGAGCUCAGCCAGCAGAUUAGACUGGGGCAUGUGGAGAAAUAGGAAUCACACCUCAGCGAUGACUGCAAACUGAAGGUCUGGUUAGACUGGAGUGCAGCAUGUGGAGACAAAUGGGAAUAACCUACCUCAGCAAUGACUGGAAACUGGUGGUUAGAGGUUAUGUAUUACCUGAAUGAAUAUUAAAAAAAAUAAAUAAAAAAUAGAUGUC